UUUCGCAAUGCCCGAAAGGGUGACGAAGCGACGCCGCGUGUGGGAAGAAGGCCUUCGGGUUGUAAACCACUGUCGGGAGUUAAGAAAUGCAAGGAUAUGAAUAGUGUCUUUGCUUGACUAAGGCUCCGGAGGAAGCCACGGCUAACUCUGUGCCAGCAGCCGCGGUAAUACAGAGGCGGCAAGCGUUGUUCGGAAUUAUUGGGCGUAAAGAGCACGUAGGCGGCUAUGUAAGUCGGUUGUGAAAGCCUUCCGCUCAACGGGAGAACAGCAUCCGAUACUGCAUGGCUUGAGUGCGGGAGGGGAGAGUGGAACUUCUGGUGGAGCGGUGAAAUGCGUAGAUAUCAGAAGGAACGCCGGCGGCGAAAGCGGCUCUCUGGCCCAUAACUGACCUGAGUGUGCGAAAGCUAGGGGAGCAAACGGGAUUAGAUACCCCGGUAGUCCUAGCCGUAAACGAUGGGCACUAAGUAGAGGGGUUUU
rnacentral:rRNA from 1 species